GUAGGGAUACAUAAGUAAGGUUUUCUCUGAACCUACCUUCCUUUCUGAACAGGAGAAAAGAUGAAUUUUAGGUAUAAGGGUGCACGAUGUAAUGGGUAGCACUCUCUAAAGACAUUUAAGUCUGUUAAAGCAUAUAUAUCUUUAUUCAAAAAUAGAUUGAGCUCUGAAUGCUGAUGCUUUCAAGACUGCUUUAUGAUAGGGUGGCUUGUAAGAGCACGUUGUUAAUCAGAUCUGUUGUAUUUCCCACAGAAUUUCACUAAGAGGUUAGGAGAGGGGACAGUGAAACAGAAACUUACACUAUAACAGAAAUACUGAGGGGACAGGAGAGGAUAAAGCUGCCCUGGCAGCAAGAUUAAUAAUGUUAACUGAUUUACUGUUGCUGCAAAAAAAGCAUUAGUUAAUUAGACUUUUACACCUCAGUCAGAUGGCAUUAGACCCUCUUUGUGCACUUUAACUCAAGGAUGUUAAAGACCUAAAUCGUUGAGAAAAAAAGAAAAGAAAGAAAAAGGACAGGCACUUUUCCAGUUUAAGCUGCAUGUUGGUCCAUGUUAAUUAGGCGUUUGUCCCUCAAGUCUGGAGGUGAUAGAAAACGCCAGUUACUGUGGUAUUUAGCUGACAUCAAACUCCUGUCCAAAUAAUUCAGUUGGGCCCAGCCUUCUCUUUUAAUUGGUGGGAAGGAAAGCUAGGCACACACCCAGAAUAAGGAGGAAACUGUUGCAUUUAACAUUUUAAAAUUUCAUUCUGAAGGAUCUGAAGUACACUCGUGUGUGUGUUUUUUAAUUAACUAUCCAGUUGAGCUUUUUUAAAAGAGUAACAACAGAAUCUCCUCUCACACUUGAGCUACCCCAAAUGAUUAGCCCUUGUAAGUCUCUAAGAAAUGAAAGUUUAAUACUUGUUGUUAUCCAAGGUCAAAAAGUGGUAUGUUAUUAUCUAGAGUCCUUACAGAUUCAUAUAUGUUUGGCACUGUCUAAUAGGGUGUCGGUGCCAAGCAAUAGACAAGUUUUAGAAACCAAUAUUUAGUGGCAUAUAUUUUUUAAAUGUCAUGAUAGUUUUAUGGAAGUAAUUAGAUAAAACAUGCUUUAAAGAAAAAAAGAUUUAAGCAAUUUCUUACCAGUUGCCAGAGAAGGUAAUUCUCAGUGACAAGAGUGUUGUUUACCUCAUUCACGAGGUGUGUAAAAACAAUUCCAAAAAUAAUGAAAGGAUUUUCUUCUAACUAAGGGUAGCCUUGUCGGCCUUCCAGCCUUCCUGGCUUUGUCUGUGGUUUCUAGCCAAAGCUUCACACGUUUUCGAGCGCUUCAUUUUCAGCACUGAACUACUUUUUGGUGCAUUGAAUGAAUGCAAUAUGUUAAAACUCCUGUACGGCCCAGAAUUGCUUGGCUGUCCCUUGGCCUGCCUGCUUGGUACUGGCUGAAAAGGUACCAUUGUUUGUUCUGCAAACACUGGGUGAUGUUUGUUUCCAAGGUGACUGGUUCUAUUGCUGCCAUUUAAAGCAAGGGGGGGAUGGGGAGAGAGAAAGUUGGCUUUAAACACCUGAGAGCAUCCUGUUGAGGAUACAGUCUCUGUGUGUGUAUGUGUGUAAGUUGAAUUAUUAUUUUAACUGAGGUAAUGGGAGGAAGAGGAAUAGUGUGGAAAUGGGAGGAAGAAACAGAUAUCAGUAGGUUUAAAAUAUCACUAAGUUCUGAUACACAGUAUACUUAGAAGGUAAUGGUGUGAGAAAUGUUAGAAUUAAAGAUCUGAUUAUCCUGCAGUUAACUGUUUUCACAUUUGAUAAACUAAAAGACAAGAGAAGAAAAAUAUUUUAGAUGAUAUCCACUGAAAUGUUACAUUUAUUUUUGCAUGAAAUAUAGUUGUUUAUCUAUGACUUGUAAGUAGCUAUUCAAAUGAAAAUCUUUGAGAGUAGUAUCAUUAAACUUGGUUAUCCAUCAGGUCACCGGACCUUCCCAAAAAAGUCAGAACAAGAGAUACAAAGAGAUUGGUUUCAGUCAUAAAAUCUAUAAAGAAAAAUUUGGAAAAAUAUGAAACGGUUGAAGUGUACUUGUGUUGAAAAUAUUCCAGUGUUGAAAAUAUUCCAGAGAGAUAAUGAAAAAGAUGAAAAGCAUCUUUUGGUGAUGAAUGACAUAUUCAUCAGUGACAGAUUUUUAAGUUCAAAUUAGAAAGAGAAAAAUGUUUCCCUUCCUGGAAUUGCACCCCCUCUUUUUUUAAAUUUUUAUUGUACAUGGAUGCUGUUAACAGAACUUUGCCUUUUCACUCCUAUCGGGUUUAGUACAGUUCAUGCCCAGGUUUCAGUAAACAUUAACUAGUUUUAUCAGGGCUUGCAGUGUGCUGAAUGGCUAGCAAAGAGAGUGUACUGCAAGAGACAGAUGAAAAUAAGAGAGUCCAAGGUCACAUGGAUGUUGAAUUUUAAAAAAUUAUGGAGAAUUUAGGGGGAAAGACAUCAAGUUUCACACUUUCAAUAUCCUCUCUUCAGUUAUGUGGGCCUGUAACAGGGCUGCUUGAUCUGCCCUUUCUAUGUCCUGGGGUUAAAACCAUUUCUUCAGAUGCGUCUUCUGAAUGGCAAGAAAAGUAAUUUUAAAAACAUUAUUUUUUCUUUGCUUUCAUUAAGAAAAAAAUCUGAAGACCCACCUUCUAGGAUGAAAAGUUCUUAAGGUCCCAGCAAAGUACUAUAACAUAUAUUGUGACAAUUCUGACGACAUCUGGUUUUACAGGGAUUUCCUUUUUUUUUUCCUUUCUCAAAGAUUAAUUGGGAUGGCCCUCUGAGCGCUAUAAUUUCAUUUCCGGAGUUGGUACACUCAAGCCUGUUAGAUGAAAUAUGGCCAGAUACAGAGUCAAUGUGCUGGCCUCGGAAACCGUGUAAUAUUUAAAACUUUCGCCCGUGCCUCUUUUCCGAAAAUAGGAAUGUGAUUUGUGCUUCUUUUUUAGUGAAGAGUAUCUGCACAUUUUAAAAAUUGCAGAGACAGUAGGAACUGCCCUCUUCCCGUCCUUCACUGCAGGCUGCCCCUGCGCACCGGUGGCCGACACGGAGGGUGGGGCUGCGAGCUGCGCCCCGAGGGUCGUGUCCCCUCCCCGGUGGCCCCGCAUCUAGGCCGUCGGGAUGGAUUUCGGUCCUGGGGCUCCGGCGACCGGGACUGGCAGGACGCGGCGGAAGGCAGCCGGCCCUCCUGGGGCCGCGGAGCCUUCGAGCACACGGGGGACUGUCCGAGAGAAGCGCGUUUGCACAGGAGCGAGCGCGCGGCGGCCGGCGGGAAGCGGGGUGGACGACGGCCCGGACGGCG
ensembl:lncRNA